rnacentral:rRNA from 1 species
UACAGAGGGGGCAAGCGUUGUUCGGAAUUACUGGGCGUAAAGGGCGCGUAGGCGGCCUCUUAAGUCGAACGUGAAAUCCCCGGGCUCAACCCGGGAACUGCGUCCGAUACUGGGAGGCUUGAAUCCGGGAGAGGGAUGUGGAAUUCCAGGUGUAGCGGUGAAAUGCGUAGAGAUCGGGAAGAACAUCGGUGGCGAAAGCGCUCUACUGGACCGCAACUGACACUCAGGGACGAAAGCUAGGGGAGCGAAUGGG